GUACUGAUGAGGAGUCCCAAACUGGGACGAAACAGCUGUCCAGCAC
rfam:Trichobilharzia regenti genome assembly, scaffold: TRE_scaffold0008639